rnacentral:rRNA from 1 species
GACAGAGGAUGCAAGCGUUAUCCGGAAUGAUUGGGCGUAAAGCGUCUGUAGGUGGCUUUUCAAGUCCGCCGUCAAAUCCCAGGGCUCAACCCUGGACAGGCGGUGGAAACUACCAAGCUGGAGUACGGUAGGGGCAGAGGGAAUUUCCGGUGGAGCGGUGAAAUGCAUUGAGAUCGGGAGGAACACCGGUGGCGAAGGCGGGUCCCUGGGCAAUUCCUGACGCUGAGGCGCGAAAGCGUGGGGAGCAAACGGG